AUUGAACGCUGGCGGCAGGCCUAACACAUGCAAGUCGAACGGUAACAGGAAACAGCUUGCUGUUUCGCUGACGAGUGGCGGACGGGUGAGUAAUGUCUGGGAAACUGCCUGAUGGAGGGGGAUAACUACUGGAAACGGUAGCUAAUACCGCAUAACGUCGCAAGACCAAAGAGGGGGACCCUCGGGCCUCUUGCCAUCGGAUGUGCCCAGAUGGGAUUAGCUUGUUGGUGGGGUAACGGCUCACCAAGGCGACGAUCCCUAGCUGGUCUGAGAGGAUGACCAGCCACACUGGAACUGAGACACGGUCCAGACUCCUACGGGAGGCAGCAGUGGGGAAUUUUGCACAAUGGGCGCAAGCCUGAUGCAGCCAUGCCGCGUGUAUGAAGAAGGCCUUCGGGUUGUAAAGUACUUUCAGCGGGGAGGAAGGGAGUAAAGUUAAUACCUCUGCUCAUUGACGUUACCCGCAGAAGAAGCACCGGCUAACUCCGUG
rnacentral:rRNA from 1 species